rnacentral:rRNA from 1 species
UACGUAGGGUGCGAGCGUUAAUCGGAAUUACUGGGCGUAAAGCGUGCGCAGGCGGGUGUGCAAGACAGAGGGGAAAUCCCCGGGCUCAACCUGGGAACUGCAUUUGUGACUGCACGGCUGGAGUGCGGCAGAGGGGGAUGGAAUUCCGCGUGUAGCAGUGAAAUGCGUAGAUAUGCGGAGGAACACCGAUGGCGAAGGCAAUCCCCUGGGCCUGCACUGACGCUCAUGCACGAAAGCGUGGGGAGCAAACAGG